UUACUACCCCGACAAACCAACUGGAAGCCCCCUUAUCGUUAUUCAUAGAGUUCUUAAGGCAGCUUUUGUGAAGCGUCACCUGCAACACGCUCGUGAACCCAAUGACUACUAUAUAAAUGAUAGUGGUGGAUUGCUUCUAUUGCCCGACAUUGGAAUAAUCAGGUGGCUGGACAAAGCUGCUCUUUUAGAGACAUCCGAGUCCCUCUCAGCU